ensembl:snoRNA SNORD33 Small nucleolar RNA Z195/SNORD33/SNORD32 family
UCUGUCUGUGAUGUUACUUGCCAUUUAGUGUUUUGAGUUUAACUGACCAUGAGAAUAUCUUACAUGCACUACCAUCUGAGACUUA